rnacentral:pre_miRNA from 1 species
UGUAAACAUCCUACACUCUCAGCUGUGAACAUAAGGUGGCUGGGAGAAGGGUGUUUACCCC